CAAAAGAUGGCCGAAGUUAUAGGUGACGGAUUGUAGCUCUGUUUAUGGGUUUUCUCUCUUUUGA
rnacentral:tRNA from 1 species